CCUCCUCGCUUCCCUUCCUGCGGUCCCAUCCCUCCCGCCGCCGCUGUCACGUCCCCUCCCGGCGCUGCGUGCGAGGGGAGAAGGCGGUCGGAGCCGGGGGCGGCUCUGCCCCCCCCCCCCCCCCCCCCCUACGGCGAAUGCCUUCCGAACCUGUUGCUCGAUCGAUUUAACCGCUAUUAAUUUAACUUUUUUCUUUGUUUUCCCUUCCAAACCGUAUUGCUCAACUGUAUCCUAAACGGAUUACACGGAGGGAGGGGUUGAAGCUGAAAACCUCAUUCAUCCUCACUGCAGUCCUAUUCAUGGCUGGAAUAGGUGUAGCAUAGAGACGGGAUCAAGAGACAGAGUCUGGUGUGGCACAGAUCUUCACGUCCCGCUCGUAUUACGGGGACAGAAGCACUUACAUCACACAGCAACUUUGUUUUAGCAAAUGACAUAAUGGGAGUGGUGAGUCUCUAACGUCUGCAGCUACGUCCUUCUUAGCCAUAAUGCUGUGUGACCACACUUUUAGGGCAAGAGGGGUAACGUAGGUCUCUGAAACUAAGCUUGUCUAUGAGGAAGGAAUUAAAACUGGGAGGAUAUGAUUAAUGCCAAUCCACACAUUGUUAAAGAAAACGUAUGUGUGUGUUUAAUGAGAAGCGUAUCACAUCUACGUUCAUAUGUUAUGUUAUGUCUACAUGGUUACCAUUAUCAAAUAAUCUUGUUUUCUAAUUGGGAUUUAUAAUCACCAGAAGUGGGGAAAAAGGAUUUCUUUGCUGCUACUGUCUACAAACGUGAAUGAUCCCUGGCUUUAGGAGCAUAAUCUCAAUGAACUAACCACUCAUUUUCUGACAAGACAAUGGAUUUGUCUGACAGAGGUCAGAAAAAGGGUAUUUUGGGGGGUGGGGGGGAGGCUUGAUGUAGAUGAUGAUUCAAUAAAUUAAUUACCACAGAGCAAAUUGAGGAGUGAAUCAUGAGCGUGUUAGCCUGAGUUGCAUGCUUUUAGCUUGAGGAUAUGGCUCCUGUGCAUUUUGCUUCUCUUUUUUGCUAUCACCCUUGAAUAUGUUAAUCCUCUGCCUAAAACACACACGCACACAUUCCUACUCCCUCACCAGGAACGGCACGGUUUGCAAUAUUGAAUUGAUUGCCUCAGGGAACAGAUCCGUGUUAGAGAUAACUGGCAGAGCACAAAGCCGUUUCCUACCUGCGCCUAUGGAGCGGCUGCUCAGGGUGAGGGGAAGGGGGAUGUUCUCGGGUGGAAACCAGGAGCAGCAGGACUGCCCUAACAGCAUCCAGAGUAGCUUUGCUGGCAGGAAAACGCAAAAGGAGCCUCUGUGAAGCUGAAGUGGCUGAACCCAUCCGGGCUGAAGGGCUCUUAUCUCACAUUUCUGAGGUAAGGAUUUACACACACGGUUUUAUUACAGGUCAGCUACUGUGCGGAACUUAUCAGAAAGAAAUGCAAGAAGCAAAUUGUUUGCAAUGAGUAUCUGUCUUCACAAUAAGAAAAUGACUGAUAAUAAAGAACUUUUUCAUACAACAGUGAAAAGCUAGAAAUUGAAUGUAGAUGUUUUCGAGUCAGACAUGAGACAUCUCAUAGUGGGCUUUCUUUAACGGUUGUCUGUACCAUGAAGGGGAGUGGUGGAUUCCUAUGUUUUGAAAUCCUCUGGAAGCUUUUUUGGAAGCUACGCUUUAGUUCAGUGGACUCGGUACAAAAAUAACUGGAUGAAUUUCCAUAACGAGGGUGUCAGACUGAGUGACGGAGCUGUUUGUUCUGUCCCUACGCUCCACAAAACUACCAACAACUGGACUGACAUGCCAGGCAGUGUCAGCCAUCCUGGAGCAUCAUCCUGGCCUCCAGCAAUGUGAUGUUUGGAUUGGCCUCUCAGCAGUGCUACCAAUUUGGGCGCUGCUAUCCUCCUCAGCUGCUACAUGGCAACCAAGACAUGGGGAUCUGGACCUUCAAAGUUUUACUGUCGACUGCUCAGAUCUAUAGGACAGGUCGUGAGACUUUUUGAAGAAGAGAGUGUACUUCAUCUUGAAGAAAGAAGAGAUUCUGUCACCAGCAACUUAUAAGUUUGGCUGGAGAAUUUCCAAGGAGCAAAAAGUUGAUGUCAAUAGUUAUAAUGUUGUACACUUUUCACAUUUUUCAUCCACAGAUCACAAACUGAUUUGCAAAUGUUAAGUACUUCUAUUUCAAAACAACCUUCUAUCUUUGGGACAUGCAUCUGAAUGUUUUAGAGUACUAAACGUAGAAAGGUGUUGUGACAGGUUAAAAGGACACUGCUGGGAGGUCUGAUCCAUUACUUAAUGCUGAAUUUAAGUUUUGGGGUUUGUUUGUUUGUUUGUUUGUUUGUUUUUUCCCCACAAGAAGAGUUUCCACAUCUGUAUGUCAUCUGCUCUAAUCACAGACCAGAGUGCUUCUCCUUUGCAGUACUCUCUUAUCUUUAUACUUUAAUGAAGAGGCUUUAUACAAACCUUUGGGAUUUUGUAAUAUUUGUGUCUCAUGGCUAGUGUGGUAUUCUUCCUCUUUCCAAUGUUUUGUUGUUUAUGCUCAAGACUAGAGUAUCCUAGGGGCCAGGUAAACAAUAGUACUGAGCAAUGGAAAACAUCUCAUUUUUCUUCAGACUGGUAACUACUGGCAAAUUCAACACUAAGCAGCAGACUGAAUUGCUAUUUAGUCUUUUCUAAAGUACAUAGUAAACUUGUAAAGCACAAACUGUCAUUACUUGAUAUAAGCAAUUAUCUACUCUCUUGACUUUAGUUGAUAUGAGUUGGGCAAACUCAUUUCCAUUGUACUCAUGCUACUUCCAGAUGAAGUCAUGAACUGUUACACAAAAGUACAAAAACAGUGUCCUUAAUGUUUCACUGGAUGUUGCUGCAUCUGCCAUAUAGACCUCCACACGCUGCUAAGGCAAGAAAAAGAGAUCACUUAAUGAUCACUUAAUUACUUGAUCACUUAAUGCCGAAUGCCAGUGUUUCAGGACUUAGGACUUGACAAGCUCCACUGUGAAGCAAGUGGGUAGAUUUCAAAACUUCAGACAAGCUGAGAUGGUUGAAGAUAAGUAAUAACAAAGAAUGAGUUAUGUUCAAAAUCUCACAAUUUAGGCAUGAGCAAGGGAUGGAAACAAAAAAACUGUAAGCAGAGGCAUAUGCACAAGAUGUUCUUUGUGAUUUGUCAAUGAUAUCACUGUGCAAAGAAGAGGGGAGGGCACACAAAGCAACACUCCCCAACGAUCAAGAAAGGGCCACUGAGCAGCAUGGUAUGAGAAAAGUACACUUCCUUCUCAUUUUCUUUGUUGUAGAAAGUUAUAUAUAUGUGAAAAUAUUUCCCUUCUCAAGACAGAUGAGCAUACUCCAAAUUUUGCUUCAGUGAAUUGAGAUAAUCUACAGUAGUACAAAAUGCCUGACUUAGUAGUAGUGCCUUAAAAACUGCCUUUAACUGUGGCAGUGUGAAAAUCCAUGCUUGCAGAAUUGCAUAGCUGAGAAAGGGAAGCACAGGCUAGGCCUAUGGCAUGCAUGAUUCUGGAAUGAAAGUAUAAAGUAUUUUUACUAGUAUUAUGAAAAAAGAAUUGCUCUGAAUUUUUACCCAUGGAUGAACUAAAUUUGAACUAAGCCUUUCUUCUGAGGCUCUCUGUGCUGUUAGACUUCUGUUUGUUUGUGAAGUUUACAUGCUUCCUGGGUUUGACCAAAGCCAGGGCUACAGAAAUAACUUAAGAAAUGUUAUCAGUCUGAUGUUUCUGAGCCAGCUAGGAUUAGAAAUGACUGGAAAUGUUAUGGAAGAGCCUGUUUUCAUGAGAUUUCUACCCAGAUAUCUAGACCAAAGGGAUUUCUAACUCUGUGAACUUACAGAACACCUUUUAGUGCUCUUUGAUGUAGACUCCUUGCUUCCUGUAGCAUAGAGAAAAAUCCCCGUGUUGUAUCUAUGCAAAUUACAGUAAAUACAUCAAUAAAAGCUCACAUUUUAAGACCUGA